rnacentral:tRNA from 1 species
GGUGGGGUGACUCAGUGGUUAGAGCUUCGGUCUCGUAACCGAAAGGUCACUGGAUCGAAUUCCGCUAUAAGCU